GAUGAACGCUGGCGGCGUGCUUAACACAUGCAAGUCGAACGGAAAGGCCCCCUUGUGGGGUACUUGAGUGGCGAACGGGUGGGUAACACGAGAGUAACCUACCCUUGACUUUGGGAUAACUUCAGGAAACUGGGGCUAAUACCGGAUAGGAGCUUCUGUUGCAUGGUGGGGGUUGGAAAGUUUCGACGGUUGGGGAUGGACUCUCGGGUUAUCCGCUUGUUGGUGGGGUAGUGGCUGACGAAGGCGUUGACCGAUAGACGGCCUGAGAGGGUGACCGGGGUCCUGGGGCCUGAGGUACGGCCCAGACGGCUACGGGAGGCAGCAGUGGGAAAUAUUGCACAAUGGGCGGAAGCGUGAUGCAGCAACGCCGCGUGCGGGAUGACGGCCUUCGGGUUGUAAACCGCUUUCGCCGGUGACGAAGCGUGAGUGACGGUAAUGGGUAAAGAAGCACCGGCUAACUACGUG
rnacentral:rRNA from 1 species